AAAAUACUUUCUCCGUCCAACAAAGGAUGUCCAAAUUUGACUAAAUUUGAAUGCAUCUAUACACUAAGUCAUGUCUAUAUACAUUCAAAUUUUGACAAACUUAAGACAUCUUUUGUUGGACGGAGGGAGUGGUUU
rfam:Brachypodium distachyon strain Bd21 chromosome 1, whole genome shotgun sequence.